AGUACAGAGAGAUGGAUGAGAGUCUUGCAAACCUGUCAGAAGAUGAGUAUUACUCUGAAGAAGAGAGAAAUGCUAAAGCUGAGAAAGAGAAAAAACUACCACCACCACCUCCACCAGCUCCUGCAGAAGAAGAGAAUGAAAGCGAGCCAGAGGAGCCAUCUGGGCAAGCAGGAGGACUUCAAGACGACAAUUCUGGAGGGUAUGGAGACGGCCAAGCAUCAGGUGUGGAGGGUGCAGCUUUCCAGAGUAGACUUCCACAUGACCGUAUGACAUCUCAAGAAGCUGCCUGCUUCCCUGAUAUAAUCAGUGGGCCACAGCAGACUCAGAAGGUGUUUCUGUACAUCAGGAACCGCACUCUGCAGCUGUGGUUGGAUAACCCAAAGAUUCAGUUGACAUUUGAAGCAACUAUCCAACAAUUAGAAGCACCUUAUAAUAGUGAUACAGUGCUUGUUCACAGAGUACACAGCUAUCUGGAGCGGCACGGUCUAAUCAACUUUGGUAUCUACAAGAGAGUGAAGCCCCUUCCAACCAAGAAGACUGGAAAGGUGAUCAUUAUUGGUUCUGGAGUCUCUGGGUUGGCAGCAGCUCGCCAGUUGCAGAGUUUUGGAAUGGAUGUCACAGUUCUGGAAGCCAGGGACCGAGUAGGAGGAAGAGUUGCUACCUUUCGCAAAGGGAACUACGUUGCUGAUCUAGGAGCAAUGGUGGUAACAGGACUUGGAGGAAAUCCCAUGGCUGUGGUCAGUAAACAAGUGAAUAUGGAAUUGGCUAAGAUCAAACAAAAAUGCCCACUUUAUGAAGCAAAUGGACAAGCUGUUCCAAAAGAGAAAGAUGAAAUGGUGGAGCAAGAAUUUAAUCGUCUGCUAGAAGCCACUUCCUAUCUCAGUCAUCAGCUGGAUUUUAAUGUUCUCAAUAAUAAGCCUGUCUCCCUAGGUCAGGCUCUGGAGGUUGUCAUACAAUUGCAGGAGAAGCAUGUGAAGGAUGAGCAGAUUGAACACUGGAAAAAAAUUGUGAAAACGCAGGAGGAAUUGAAAGAUCUUCUUAACAAGAUGGUGAAUUUAAAAGAGAAGAUUAAAGAACUUCAUCAACAGUAUAAGGAAGCAUCAGAAGUGAAGCCACCACGGGAUAUUACAGCAGAGUUCCUUGUGAAAAGCAAACACAGAGAUCUGACUGCACUUUGCAAGGAGUACGAUGAAUUGGCAGAGACACAAGGAAAGCUGGAAGAGAAGUUACAAGAACUUGAAGCCAAUCCUCCAAGUGAUGUUUAUCUGUCAUCAAGAGACAGACAAAUACUCGACUGGCAUUUUGCAAACCUGGAAUUUGCUAAUGCUACACCCCUCUCUACGCUUUCACUAAAGCACUGGGACCAGGAUGAUGACUUUGAAUUCACAGGCAGUCACUUGACUGUGAGGAAUGGAUAUUCCUGUGUGCCUGUAGCCUUGGCAGAAGGGCUGGACAUUAAAUUAAACACAGCAGUUCGUCAGGUUCGCUAUACAGCAUCAGGCUGUGAAGUGAUAGCUGUAAAUACACGAUCUACUAGCCAGACUUUCAUUUACAAAUGUGAUGCUGUGCUGUGUACUCUUCCCUUGGGAGUAUUGAAACAGCAGCCUCCAGCAGUACAGUUUGUGCCGCCUCUUCCUGAGUGGAAAACUUCUGCAGUGCAGCGUAUGGGAUUUGGCAACCUUAACAAGGUUGUGUUGUGUUUUGAUCGCGUCUUCUGGGAUCCAAGUGUCAAUUUGUUUGGUCAUGUUGGUAGCACUACUGCAAGCAGAGGAGAACUUUUCCUGUUUUGGAACCUGUACAAAGCACCAAUUUUGUUGGCCUUGGUAGCAGGAGAAGCGGCAGGGAUCAUGGAGAAUAUCAGUGAUGAUGUCAUUGUUGGACGGUGCCUUGCCAUCCUCAAAGGCAUAUUUGGUAGCAGUGCUGUGCCACAGCCUAAAGAGACUGUGGUGUCCCGCUGGCGUGCUGACCCAUGGGCCCGGGGUUCAUACUCCUAUGUAGCAGCUGGAUCUUCUGGAAAUGACUAUGAUUUGAUGGCUCAGCCAAUUACUCCAGGGCCAGCCAUUCCAGGUGCUCCUCAGCCUAUUCCUCGCCUCUUUUUUGCGGGAGAACAUACAAUUCGCAACUACCCUGCAACUGUUCAUGGUGCUUUACUGAGUGGACUGAGAGAAGCUGGCCGCAUUGCAGACCAAUUUCUUGGGGCCAUGUAUACUUUGCCUCGCCAGCCUACGCCUGGGGUCCCCCCACAACAAGCUACCAGCAUGUAAGAGAAGUAGAAGGUAUCAGAAGAGGAGCAAUAAGACCACAGUGCUGCUAUUUGGGAUGAAGAUCUUCACAUAGUCUGUAACAGGAUCUGCUGAAAGGACUCAGCCAUGACUUGCUGUAUAAUACUUCCAUUAGAAUGGCCUUACAAAAAAUUACUAACCUUUGGCUUAGCAUCCUUUUACAAAAAUCUCUUGUAGCUGUUUGAAGUGUCAGUGUAAAUAGAAUCCUUUCCUACCAAGCUGGUCAGGGACUUUUUUGACUCUGCAGAUAUUUUUUGAAAGUCGAGCUUGUAGCUAGAGAUUUUUUAGGGGUUUUUUUUUCUACCUAUACAUGUAUUUACAAUUCAGUAAUUGCACAAGGCCCUCUAGAAGCUCAUUGCUAUGAAUAGUAGCUUAGUGUAGAAUUUAUGUAAACUUCUUUGUUGUUUUUUUUUUUUAUUGUUUUGUUUUGAAGAAUAAUAUUUUUUGACCAAUUCUAUUCUUAUCUGGCAUUUGAGAAUUUGGUGCAACUGUUUCCCUACCGGUAACAGCAAAUCACACCCCUCCAAAAUGGUCCAUUGGCUGCUACAAUAUAUGCAUCCUGUUUUAGAAAGAAAGCUGGUAUUACUAAGAGUGUGCUAAGCAUACUGUUUUAUUAAAUACUUUCAACCAGAAAAAAUCAUCAGAACUGGAUAUUUUUAAGUUUAAAAACUAGAAAUAUUAUUUGUAUUUGUUUAUAUAGAAACAGAGUUAUCUAGACAGUAAGUUAGCUGAAGGACCUGAUCUCUUGACUUCUGCGUGCUGCAGGUGGGCGCUCUGUGUACCUGUUGAUUUAAUUUCUGCUAGGUUGAUGAGAUGAUGUCGCAGCUGCUGUUAUUAUGCUUCUGAAGACCAUUUUGGUUUGGCUGCUUUUCCAAAUAUUUUCCUUAUUAAUUCAGUGCAUACAGCCUUCCUUUCAUUGCACAGAGCAGUCUUAUUUAAACAUUUAGAUCCUGUUUCCCUCUCCAUCUUUCCCCAUUUAGCAUUAGAUUUUUCUUAUUUCUUCCAACUUCUCUCAUCCUCUUCUUUCUACAGUUUAUUUCUAGCUCAUCUAACCACAGUCUCUGUUCACACUUUUUUCUGCUUUUCAGUUUUUAUGUUCUCACUUUCUCUGACCCCGUGUCUGUACAUGUGCAGUCUGUCCCAACUCCAUCCUGUCCUUGCACCUUCUGUUCUGCUAGAGGACCAACAUUUCCUCUUGUUCCAUACUCAUCCCUCUACAGCUACACUGCCCACACUUCUUGCUGAAGCACACACACACACAAACACACAGCCCCUACUUGUUUAUAGCUGUAUUGUCUUUGGCCAUGGACUCUCCAUCUUCCAGCAUCAUUGCUUCUACUGUUUCCUUGUGUCUCUUUCUUAGCAGCUGGAGAUCCUUUUUCCCCUGACUAUGACUGUUACCUUCUUGUUGCUUUCUCAUUAGAUACUGAAGUCCACGAGGGGGCAUCGCCAUAGGCAGCCUUUCUGACAAGCCAUGAGAAAGGGGAGGACUCUGAUGUGAUGGGGGCAAGAGUCUGUGAGUGGGCACAGACUUGAAGUGUCAAGGACCAAGCUCAUUUGAAGUGGCUAAAUUUGGUGCCACGGGGAACUCUCUUUCCCAAACCUCUGUUUAAAUUAGUGCUACCUCCCCCGUAUCUCUAACUUUGCAAACAUCGUUGCUACUUGGGCCCUUUCUUGAAAGGGGUACUCCUCAGCAACACUACUCAUCCUCACUUUCCCUUCUGGGAGACAAGACAGACUUUGUGAUGGUUGGUCAGAAAACUGCCACUGAAGUGGGGCACAAAUUGGAAGUACAGCAGGGCAUGGAGGAGGGGUGUCCAGGAGGUAACUGAGAGUAAAUGGAGAGUAAUUGGAGACUCAAGACUCCCUGCCUUAUGUUCAGGUAAAAGCCUGUCAGCACCACUGCCCAGAGAAAUCCUGUUCCAGGAUGAGAGGUGUGACAGGCCUUUAAAAAUCCACCAACAGCUGAUCUGAUCUCUUGGCUAGUCUGACCGGGGAUGGAAGAGGAUCUGCAAAUCGGGGUGCUGUGUUCUGUAACCAGGCUUCCAGAGUCUGUAGGUCUCCAUGUUUGUGGGGUGGUUUGCUGUUGGGAUUAGUGAUGGGUGCUGUCUCUCCCCAUGAGGACUUGCUCUAGCAAAGUGUCAAAAACUCAUAAAAGUGCUUCUGGCCCACUGGAAAAUAAAAUAGUCCUCAAUGGUGUCUUUUCCAGACAAAUAUCAAGCCACUUCUGCAUCAGCCUAUUAAUGUUAUUUUCAGCUGCUUUGUUCUACUUUGUGCUGACUGAGAUUUAGCAGACUCUUCAGGCAGCUAAUCCUGUCAAACAACAUGCAGUCAAGACAUUCAAAUGUAAACAAACUUCAUUUUGCACGUUGCCAUUGGUUUGACUGAGUGGGGCUAAUCUUACACCUGAUGACCAGACUAUCCUGUUUCCCCUUUUCAAAAAGACAUCUGAAAACCAUGGUGACCACUGAAAUAAGAAGGUGGAGAUGAAGACCUGACAGUUCCCAUCAAUUUUGAAGGUGUGCAAGGAAUUGGUGGGUGUUAGCUGAUGGCGGUGAUGGGCACGAGCAAAGGAAUGGGAAUGCCAGGAGGAGAUGAGGAGGCCUUGUGACUUGAUGUAGUCUGUUCACUGCUUUCAGAGUCUUCACUGGAAGGUGAAGACCAUGAUCUGUGGCCUGCUGCACCCUGCCCUGUCUCUUAUCUCUGGGGACUCUGGACCUAUUCCUCAGCCAGUCCCUGCUAACAAGCCCUAGUAGGUGUUGGAGAGCGAACAGCUCAGAGUACGUUCAGCUCUUCAGGGUGUUUGAGGCUCAGCAAAGAUGCAGAAAAUUGCUGGGCACAUUGGAGCUCCUGUGCUGCAGUUCCUGCCCUGCAUAGCCCAGUUUCUCAGGGCAUUGGUUGCACCCUAAGCAGAGGGGAGCAGUGGUUGGGUGGAGGUCAAAGACUGCUCCCUUUAUUCUGGUUGUAUCCUGUGGAACUUCUGGGAUGGAGGAGGCUGCACUGUCACCCCAAGGCCAGACGGAGCUUGCAGACCUGGAAAAGGUGGCCUGAGCACAUAGUGAUGAGUCAUCUUAGUGUUGGGGUUCAGCUCUGCCAGGCCACAUGGUGAAACUUCCAUUGUUUAUCCAGGUCUCAUGCUCUUUGCAGCACUGCCUGUGUGUGAUACUCCUCAAGCAGGCAGUCUCCCAGCAGUUAGCAACUCUUGUUCUGCUGCUUCUGUCAUCCCAGGGGUGCCUUCUGAUGUGCCUCAAAUGGUGGCUCUGAGUCCAGACUAUCAAUGUAUGUGUUUAGGAGCAUAUUGUUCUCUGCUCCCUGGGCAGAGAACUCUCUUAGCUGGACCUUUGGUUUGUCCCAUAAUGGCUAGUCCUGCUUCAGUGCUGCCUGUGCUGCCUUCCUACCUCUUGUGAUCUACUAAGGAGGAGAUGGCAUUGUAACUAAAUAGGUCACCAGGUGCUCUCCACCUCUGCAUCCUUCCUCAUGGUGUAGCCAUUCUUCCCCUUCUUGCUGUUUGCUUGCCCUGGCUCCCCUGCGGGGGUUGCCUGAUCUGUUUCAGUGAGUUGUGGAUGACCUUUAUCAUGGAUUUGAGGCUGCUGGGCACAGUCACAAAACCUAGUGAUGAGUGGUUGCACCCUCUGUUGCAUACCCUUCCACCCAUUCUCAGGGACUUGCCACUUCUUACUCACUCCAUGGGUAGGUGAAUUGCAUUUCUGACAACAAAACUGAUUGGUGCCCAUUUUGGAAAGAAAAACACUCUUCCCUAGUUGGACCUCCCUUUCUGUACUGAAGGACCCCAGUAACCUCCCAUGGGGUUCUGAAUCGUGAGUGAAUGCAUGCAUUCGCCAGUCAGGUAGUAAUUUUGGAUGGGAUGAAUCUGCAGGAAGAUUUGUAUUUGUCAGUUCUCCAGAUGCCGCUGUUUUUGUCAGGUGCUAGCAUCUACUUUGUAAUAAACUACUGUUAGCUCAGGGUCUUUGUGUUCAGUCUUUGUAUGGAACUGAGAAUAUUUACUAUGGUCUUGCCUGUAGUGGAAAUUAACUGCAAAGGUUCUCCCUGUUUUGUUAUAUUGCUAAUUGACUGGAUCAUAAACCUAGAGGAAAAACUUCACUGGGAGCUUCAGUUUCUUUUUUUAUUGUCAGUGUUUUCACCUGACUAGGACUCUUGCUGUAUUUCUGAAAAAGUUCAGCUGAAGGAACAAUGGUGCUCAGAGCUCAUCUUGCAGUCUUUAAGCUUAAGUGGCUGCAUAAAGUGAGGUGACUAAACUUAACUGAUUUGUAUACUUCAGAUUCCUUUUAAUGGUGGUGAUAAUUCCAUGAGUUACUUUUCCUAAAAAUGUUUACCAGAAGAGAACUGGAUCUCAUGGCCUGGCUUGUUUUCAAGUUUGCUGCUUUUGCCAAUGAUUUUUUGCAGUUUACAACAUGUUUAAUUUCUGAAGGUGCAAUGUUUUGUUCAUUUGGAAGGAAUAUUGAAACUUAGAGGAAAUGCUUUCCACUGACGUUCUUCCCCAAAGCAUACAGAUAUUGCAGAACCAUUGGCACGCUUCCAGACCUUGUGUUCUGGGUGUUACCAGAGAUAAAUACCCAAAACCCCCCACAAGAGGUCACCUUUAGAAUGUCAGUGGAGAGUGAAAGCCUCCCUUUAAUUACCUGUGCAUAUCAGUCAUGGAGUUUGACAUAUGCAAAGAAAAAUUGUCUUCAAUUUUUUUCCAGCUUCAACAAUUUGUCUGCUAAAAGCUGUUAUUUCUCUACAAAAUCUGUUGGCUCGUAUUAGCAAAGCAGGGUUUGUGGAGUGCUUCCAGGUGCUAACAGGCAUCAAAUCAAUGUGGUGUUUAGAAAUUCCCUGGAAAACAUCAAUCCUAGAGACUGAGAAAUGCAGUAAAAUGCCUGAUGCAUUCCUGACAUGAAUAUUUGCAGCCCAGGCUUCGCAGGCCUGCACUUCUGCGUGUGCAGCUUCAUCACUGCACAUUCUUACACAUGCACGUAGAUAGAGGGCACAGUAGCUGACCAAAUUCUUUAUCACAUAUGGUUCUUCCCCAUUUCCAGCCAACCAAAGACCAUGGUGAUGUGGCACUUGGAGCCUUUCAGUCAUGCAAAGUGUGACUGCACUUCAAAGAAACACAAAGCACCGACAUUUGUGCUGUAGCUGUAGGCUCAGCCUUUCUGUGUCGCACCUGAUGAACUUAUGGUAAGGAUGGCCGACAUCUAGGCUGGCCUUGCUUCAAUGAUAUUGAUAAUGGGUCUGUUCUUGCACUGAUAGAAUAAUUUUUGGUUUCUCAUGCAAAUAUUGCCUGGUUUAGUACAUGCUUCAUAAAAUAGCAAAAAAAUAGCAGCAGGGUGACUUGUUCACAGCUACUGAGCUGAAGAAAUUGCUUGCCAUGUUCACACUAUAUCAAAGUAUAUCAGUUGCACAAGUGCAAACUUCAGACCACUGCCAAAUAAAGAUGUACGAAGGCAUUGCAUGGAAGAUUUUGUAGACAGAAUAGAUAAUCUUUGAAAUGCCUACUGAUGGUGGGGUUUCUCUCUACUAACCUCAUAACUUUCCUCUGCACUAGUUGUCUUGACGUCUUCCAGCCAUGCUUCUCUCUGUCCAAAUAGUUUCGGGACCUUUGAAUCUGUUCAUUAGGGCUUUGAGUUCUGGUAACACAGGACCUACAUCCAAAUCUUUCUUAAUAAUACGUGGCCAAAUGUGCCAUGCUCACAGACUUCCGGUACUGUUAGUGCAGUGAUAUAUUGCCAGCUCAAGGGCCUUCUGGAAAUGGUUUCAAUUUACCACUUCUGUGUUCCAGAUCCAGCUCUUGGCUUUCCAUUCUCACAAAAACUGCUUCGGAUAUGUCCUUUGCUUGGGGAUCUGCUGUCUCAUGGGGCCAAAAAUUUGGAUCUCUGUUUUAUUAAAUUCUUUGUUGGUCCCCAUCAGUGUAGCGUUAAUUACACCUCUCCAUGAAGGGGCUUCUGCUCACUGUUGUUCUGUUUUCUUUUCUAGACACUGUAUCACUGCACCCCAAUAACUUUAAGGCUUUCACUUCAACAAGGGUAGAUAACCUAUUUUUCAGACUUCAUGCUUGAAAGACACAGAUAUCUUGGCCUGCCAACCCAGCCUGGAUGAUAAAGUAUCUUUUCCAUGUAUGGGUUUGUGCCUUUCAGAAGCUCCUGAAUACAUUACCUUGCUUGUGGAGAGGUCCUAGGUGUGUGUCUCCACAGAGACCGUCUGUUUGGAUAGCAACUUAUUUUAGAUUGCAGUUAUCUGAGUGUAGCCCCUGGCUGUAAGCACCUCAUGGCAGUGCACUGCAGGCCCUGGCAGUGGUGCAGUGUGCGUCCAUCCUUCCCCACGGCUUCUGCAGUGUUCUCUCUUCAUACCUGCAUCAAAUGCUGCUCCCCUGCUUGAGCAUCCAGCAAUUAGUGCUAGACUUUGCAAACGGUGAAAUUCCCAUUUGCUUUGCUUCCAAGCCACCCCUGCCUAGCUGCACCCAUGUGGAAUUGUGUUCGAAGUUGUCCGAAGUCAGAACAGACGUGUGGACCACAGCCACAUGAAAAUGGAAAUUACUUGCCUAGGUGCUGUACAACAGACAUGCUCCAUGUACUCAGUACUUCUCUUUCUUCCUCAUAGUCCCGCAUAACUUUUUUCCAGAUUUUUUGUUAAGCCUUGUGUGGUCACGGCUUAACACAUGGGGAGGUUAAAGUCUCAGCCAUGAUCCACUGUUACAGGACAAGAAGUGUGUCUGAUCUCAAGUUCUUGGGCCGAGUUACUGGAGUUUGGACAACAUACUCCUGUCCUCAGUAACUUCUCCUGGCUCACAGAAUCGUAUCCUCACUUCUGAUUAACAAGUAAAGCUUGUCAAACUGAUGAAUUUGAAAGAUUUUUCCUGAUUCAGUGAGGAUACUUUAGCCUCGUGGUCUUAGUUUCUUCCAGGAGAUGGCCAACAGAUCUUGGUUCCAGUACAGUCUAUACUGGCUGAGUGAAGGAAAUCUAAUGAAGCAGCGUCUCAGCUUCCCUCUGUAAGAAUGCCUGUCCUCCAGCCCAUGUGAGAUCUGCCUCAAUACAGGCAAAAACCAAAGAACAAGGUGGUCAGACUCAGUGCUAACGCACAGUGCCUGCAGACUGGGGCUGCCUCAGCACUUCAAAGGGCAUCAGUGCCUCCAAGUAACAGACACUGCACAGGGAUUCAGCUGGAGCUACAAAUACCACACCACAAACAUGUAAAAAGAGUUUUUAUUGGUUAUAUACUGUAGAGCUGACAGUGUUUGAGUCAGGAGAGACAUGCAGAUAAAGUGUGUGUUUACAUUUGGCAUGCAGACUAAGAGCACUGCAUAACUAGGAGGUGAGCACCAUCUGUAUCCACUGCAUGGGCAGCCUGGGGAGGGAAGAGCUGGCUUCCCUCUACUGAGCAUGCUGAGAUGGGGAGGGGUUUGAGAGGGCGAAACAGUGCUCAUAGCUCUAUUGGACACAAAGUUUGUUUUAGGGAAAUAGGCAAUACUGUAACCCUGGAAAAUUUGCUUAACUUGGAUGAAUCUGUGAUUAUGAAAAGAUUUCUUGCAUUAUUUAUCUUCUAACUAAGCUGCCCCAGCCCAAAUAUAUGUCUGCAAAUACAAAAAAAAAAUAGAUUUAUUCUCUUAAAAAUACAUUCCAUGCAGCCUGGAGUGCUGCUUCCCCAAGGCAGGAGCCUGCACUGCAUGCUGGGCAGCCUAGGAAGAUGAUCCUUUGGGUCCGCAGGUUACUAACCAUCAGAGGCAAGCAAUGGCUUUGUGUCUCAUCACAUACAGAGCAGUCUGCUGGAGGCCGGCCUUGGGGCAGUGCUUUGACCACUCCAGUGAUGUGCAAGGGUGGCAGAGAUGAGGUCCACUAUAUUAGAGAUGACAUCAAUGUGACUAUUGCUUCAAUCUGCAGCUAGGAAAUUGCUCAUGUCGAGUGUCUCUUGAACCACCGAGGCACACCACCCUGCCCUGUGCUUCCUGCCCUCUUUGGGUCCUGGAUGUACCAUCUGAAGGCGGGCUGUGGGUCUCCCCUCAUCUGUGCCCAGUGUGCUGCGGUUUGACAGUGCACGGACUGGUGGGUGCACUCUGAAGCUGCCACCAUUCUGUGCAGCAGCAAGCUGCUGGCCCCUCCGGCUGGUGCCAGCCAUUCUGGGGAAAGCCACUGGCUCUCCAAAAGGGACCAGCAUCUCUGUUUUCUUGGGAGAAGCGAGCACUGACACACUGCCUCUGUACAGCAAAUACAUUUACAACUUUGAAAUUACCCGAGUGCUUGAUGCGCAGCCUCGUGGCAUCAUCAAGCCCAUUGAAAAGCCUGUUAUAUUUAUAUGCUAAAAUUACAAAUACUUCUUCAGUGGUGGCAAUAUUUACACAUAUACUCUAUUUUACAGCUGUUCAAAAAAGUGUGCAAUUUGAGUAAAACACAUUGUGUUUCCUGAAGUCAUUGCUAUAAGUUUAAUAAUACAAUCAGCUCCUAUUGCACUCAUGAUUAAAGGGCAUGGCCCCUUUCAAUUUUAAGGAGGGUUUUUCUUUCUCAGAUUUAAUCUCGGUUGUGGUAAGAACAACCCGGUGUACAGUUACUGCGUGACAUCUGUGUUCAUUACUUACAAGCAGUGAGACUGAGUUUAUGUGCUGUAAAAUAUUGAAUGACUGAGGCAGCUGGAGAAAGGAGAGCUGUCACCUGCUAGAUGCACCUGAGGAGAGCAGACAGUGACAGAAUUGCUGCAUUGCUGGGGCUCCUGCUGCAUGCUGUGAACUGGCUGAGCAGCAAGGUGAAGCCCUCCGGUUGCCCGUGGCUAAGGAAAGCCUGGUCCUGGCUGACAGAAGGGGAAAACCAACAGCUAUUGCUCCUGGUGGUUUUUCCCUUGUACUUCAGACAUAGGGUUGUGUUAUUGGGGUGAGCUGUGGGGAUGAAAAGCUGAUGGGUAAGCCAGAGUUUUGUGGGUAGGUAGAGGGAAGCCUGUGUUAACCCAGCACAACUUGUCGUAGGGAUGCAGAACUUUCCUGGCCAGGACUGAAACCACUUCUCUUGGAAGGAGCUUUGGAAGCACCAUGCUAAGCUGGAUCCAUGCCAAGAAUGUGAGGAGAGGGCUGGUGUAUGGGCACCCAAGUGUCCUGUGGGAUGUGGACCACUGUCCUGCAGCAGGAUGGGGCUCAUCACCGGGAAGAAAGCCAUACAGGUGCUGCUCAAAGUGAUCCUUGUCCUCUUCAGUGUCUAUGUGCUGUCCAGCUGUUUCUAAAACUAAGCUGCAAGUCCUGGGCAGCAGUGACACAGGUCAGGCCCUCCUGAAUAUGCUGCUUCUCUGUGAGACUGAACUGCAAUGCCAAGCAGUUGUCAGCAGCGGUUCUUCCACAGUGACUGUAACUGGGGAUGUAUUAUACUGGUGGAGAGCUGCUUAGCAGCAGGUUUGGGAAUAUAAACGGAGGUAAAUAAUUACCGUGAUGUCUGAAAAGUGGCAUUUG